rnacentral:rRNA from 1 species
CACGAACGCUGGCGGCAGGCUUAACACAUGCAAGUCGAGCGCCCCGCAAGGGGAGCGGCAGACGGGUGAGUAACGCGUGGGAAUCUACCCAUCUCUACGGAAUAACGCAUGGAAACGUGUGCUAAUACCGUAUACGUUCUUCGGGAGACAGAUUUAUCGGAGAUGGAUGAGCCCGCGUUGGAUUAGCUAGUUGGUGGGGUAAAGGCCUACCAAGGAGACGAUCCCUAGCUGGUCUGAGAGGAUGAUCAGCCACACUGGGACUGAGACACGGCCCAGACUCCUACGGGAGGCAGCAGUGGGGAAUAUUGGACAAUGGGCGCAAGCCUGAUCCAGCCAUGCCGCGUGAGUGAUGAAGGCCCUAGGGUUGUAAAGCUCUUUCACCGGUGAAGAUAAUGACGGUAACCGGAGAAGAAGCCCCGGCUAACUUCGUGCCAGCAGCCGCCGUAACAC